rnacentral:rRNA from 1 species
AGUCGAACGCAACCUUCGGGUUGAGUGGCGGACGGGUGAGUAACGCGUGAGAAUCUGCCUUGGGGUCGGGGACAACCACUGGAAACGGUGGCUAAUACCGGAUAAGCCUUUGGGUAAAAGAUUUAUUGCCCCAAGAGGAGCUCGCGUCUGAUUAGCUAGUUGGUGAGGUAAAAGCUCACCAAGGCAGCGAUCAGUAGCUGGUCUGAGAGGACGAUCAGCCACACUGGGACUGAGACACGGCCCAGACUCCUACGGGAGGCAGCAGUGGGGAAUUUUCCGCAAUGGGCGAAAGCCUGACGGAGCAAGACCGCGUGAGGGAGGAAGGCUCUUGGGUUGUAAACCUCUUUUCUCAGGGAAGAAGCUCUGACGGUACCUGAGGAAUCAGCCUCGGCUAACUCCGUGCCAGCAGCCGCGGUAAUACGGAGGAGGCAAGCGUUAUCCGGAAUUAUUGGGCGUAAAGCGUCCGCAGGUGGCGAUUCAAGUCUGCUGUCAAAGCACGGGGCUUAACUCCGUUAAGGCAGUGGAAACUGAAUAGCUAGAGUGCCGUAGGGGUAGAGGGAAUUCCCGGUGUAGCGGUGAAAUGCGUAGAGAUCGGGAAGAACAUCGGUGGCGAAAGCGCUCUACUGGACGGCAACUGACACUCAGGGACGAAAAGCUAGGGGAGCGAAUGGGAUUAGAUACCCCAGUAGUCCUAAGCUGUAAACGAUGGAUACUAGGUGUAGCUUGUAUCGACCCGAGCUGUGCCCGAAGCUAACGC